AGUGAACGCUGGCGGCAGGCCUAAUACAUGCCAGUCGAACGGCAGCACAGUGGAGCUUGCUCCAUGGGUGGCGAGUGGCGGACGGGUGAGGAAUACAUGGGAAUCUGCCCAGUCGUGGGGGAUAACGUAGGGAAACUUACGCUAAUACCGCAUGCGCCCUUCGGGGGAAAGCCGGGGACCUUCGGGCCUGGCGCGAUUGGAUGAGCCCAUGUUCGAUUAGCUAGUUGGCGGGGUAAAGGCCCACCAAGGCGACGAUCGAUAGCUGAUCUGAGAGGAUGAUCAGCCACACUGGGACUGAGACACGGCCCAGACUCCUACGGGAGGCAGCAGUAGGGAAUAUUGGACAAUGGGCACAAGCCUGAUCCAGCCAUGCCGCGUGAGUGAAGAAGGCCCUCGGGUUGUAAAGCUCUUUUGUCCGGGAAGAAAAGCAUCGGGCUAAUACCUCGGUGUUCUGACGGUACCGGAAGAAUAAGCACCGGCUAACUUCGUG
rnacentral:rRNA from 1 species